ACAGGCGGCUCGGGGAGAAAUGGGAGCUGCUCCUCCGGCUGUGGUGACAAACUGCGUGGUCCCGUGAAACGUGGGUGCUGGGAGCUGGAAGUUCGUCAAGAGUAAUCCGGGAGAAGUGUUGUGGUUUUAGAGCUAAUUCUUAAAAAACGCCAAUACAGAGCGUAUGGCUUGUUGUCCUUGCACACUCAGAGCCUGGCUCCUGAGGCCAGUGAAGGAGAAAUAGCAGUCUGAGCAAAGAGAAAACAAAUAGUAAAGCAAAAAGAAGCACCUUGGAGUUGAAACAUUCAAGAUGGAUUUGGAACAGUUCUGUGUGGAUUUUCUGCUAAAAUGUAGCAGCCACAAGAGAUUAAGUGCGGUUAAGUGUAAUGAAGUGUGAAGAUGACAAGAUAAAUGAACCAGAGGCGCCUCAUCUUCCAACGCACAGUCGUACAGGUUUUGUAUUCCAGACACAAAUGUCACCUUGGGGUUGAAGUCAUACUAGAUGAAUCACUGUAAGUAUAACUGAGAUAGUUUUUGUUUGUUUGUUUGUUUGUUUUUCUCCGAUUACCUUAUGUGCUUUAAAUAUAGUCCUCCUGAGUUAAGCAAUGAGUUAAUUGCCUGUGAGAUUUGUGAUGGAAAGUUCUCUCUGAAAUAAACACAGUAAACAUACUAAAAGUUUUUCUUUCUUUUCACACACUGGGAGGAAGGACUGCUUCUAGUGACAGGGUGCUAGACUAGACUGAUCCUGGUCUCUUAGGAUGCUAGUACUUCACCGAUACAUAAAGUUCAAUAUUGGAAUUGUUAAAUGUAUCAUAGCAAAAUACUUUUAUGUAGUUUUUCUAAUAAUCUUUUAAAACCACAUGCAGAGUGUUACUUCCCAUGUGGAUAUUAGUUCUGACAACUGUGGUAUGAAUGAGGUAUUGGUGGACUUUUGAAAAUGUGAAGGACAGGAAUCAGCCAGUGAGCCUAGGUGGGACUUUAAAAAGAUAUUUACAAAUUAUUUAGCUACUAUAAAAAAAUAAAAAAGCAGCUGACUAAAGGUCUCAAUUAAUACAUUGUAUCAGCCUCUCUCAAUUUAGUUCCCCUUUGUUACAUUAAGACAACAUUGAUCUAACAUUUGUUAGCAGUGUUUCAUUAACACCAGCGGGGGGCAGGCUUGAAUUGGAAACUCUUCUUGCUACUUCAAUUACGUGAACUUAAAUAAGAUAGUCCCUCGAGCUCAAAGCUGAUGGAAUUUCUCUACUAUUCUAAUUACUCUUCCACUGGAUAGAAGCUUCUUUACAACUGCUGUUUGACAAAAUGAAUGUUUUGCUGUGUUGCAGCAAGAAUAGUGAAUGUUUAAAUAAAGAUGAUAAUAUGAAAGUGGAUGAGUCAGUUUAUUAGCAGCUGUGUGCUAUUCACAGGGGAGAAUCCAUGCUGCUUAAUAAUUAAUCACGUAUAUCUUAAAACAGUUUUUAAAAACGAGUGAAUAUGAUUAUCCACACUUUAUAGAUGAAGAAACUGAUGAAUAGAGAGGUAGCUUUGCAAAUUAUCGGUCUAGGUGACCUGCAGAGGCAAGAACAAAAUCCAGAUUUCUGAGGUCUAGUUCAGUGUUCAAGUAUAUUUUUGCAUAAAUAAACUAUGGUAUGUCUAACAGUUACAAACAUGGAAAUGACUGCUUGCAGCCCAAAUUGCUGAGGAGUUUGCAAUAAUGAAAUGGGUAGGUAACCUGACAGCCAGAGUAUAGCUCUUUCCCUCGAGAGGCUGAGUAGAGGUCAGAUCAGAUGGCUGAAGAUCUGCACAAAAAUUGCAUGUUAUUAAAGCAAGUAAUCUGCAUGUUUCUAUAUAUUUGACAUUUUUUAAGUUAGAUUGUACUCUCUCCAAGGAAUGAAAAGCCUUUCUAUGUAGACCUUAAAAGCCAUUUCAAUCUGAGUACUAAGAAAUGUAUGGUUAAAAAGUCAAUUUGCAUACAGGUGAAGGGUUAAGAUACUAAAUGAUUGUUCCUCCAUUCCUUUCAUCUUUAAUUAUGAUGGUUUCAAAUUAUGAGCAAAACAUUAGGCUUCCUAUUAACUCACCAAGACCAUCCUAUUUACUGUACCUGUGGUCAGUAACAUUCACGGGUCUUGUGACUCAUCAUUAAGUGUUCUCCUUCAUUAAGGCACAAAGUUGAAAAGCUAAAUAUAGUUGCUGUUUUUAUUUGAUUAAAUAUAUGUAUUCUGCUUUCUUUAUAUGCUGUCUUAUGAGGUCAUCACCCAUUGUAACAGCUUUUUAAAGUAUUAAAAUGCUCUGCAUUUUUUAUGCGUAAGCCUUAGCAUAAAUUGUUCUGUUUCUAGAAAAGACUGGAGGCAUACUGUUAUGAAGCCUCCCAUGCCUAAGACUUGUGUAAGAUAUACCAGAGAACAUUUGGUGCUGCAUAUUAAAAACUCCAUUUGUAGAAUGAAUGAGCACAUUGCACAAUGCAUUUUUCCUUUUUUCUUAUUGCCAGUUUGCAGUGGCCAUCGUGUUGAUGGUGUGAGUUAGUCAUUGGUUUAUGACUCCAAUGAAAAGGACCACGUUGAAAAUCAUAAGUUAGAAUGUAAAUGAGUGGGCGCUUAGAGCUUGAACUCAAAAACUGCAUAACCUAUUACGGUGUUACUCAUUUUUCGUUUAUUUUCAGACAAAUCUCGUUAAAAUCGGAGUCAGAAAUGUCUGGCAGUGAUUUAAAGUACAAUGUGGCAAUUAUCCCAAAACUUAUUACUGUACAUUCAGGCAAUGCAUUUCAGGUUGAUAAUUUCUCUGCGUACUUUGUGUACCCCACAAAGGGUUGACAUCUCCAAAUAUUCAUAACUUUCCAUAACUCACAGAGGCCUGAAGAUGCAAUUCAAAAGGGAAGAAAUUAUUUUUCUCUUCUGCACAAAGUGGCUCCAAGCCAGAAACAUAUCCAUAUGCAGAAAUGAGUCUGAAUGUUGUUCACACCACUUUUUUGGUGUUUGGUUUUCUUAGUAGUUUCUACUCUUGAACUGGUCACAGAAAUGCCGGUAAGCCUUGACAUCCUUCUAGUAAGUAAGUACUGCAAAAGCCUUCCUCUCAGAGGACUAGACAUCAGUUGUUACCUGGGAGCCAUCUGUAUUUGAACUUAGUUAUCACAAAAAGAGCUUACAUGUUCGCUCUGACACCAUUAUUUAUUUAUUAUUUGAAAUUUAGAUCGGGCUUCUGCAGAAAGCAGGAAGACUUCUGGUAGUUCACCAGCCAGUUGGCUUCUGCUGUCCCCAGGGCUAACCAUGAGCUGGUCUUUCCAAAUGCUUAUUGACAGUCUUACGCUUGCAGUUUUUGCCAAGGCCAGUAACACGAUCACUGCAUAACAGCCUGCCUCACAGCAAGUCAAGGAAAAGAGGGCAGAUGCUAGUAGGAAUUGAGGCUCCUUGGAGAUUAAUGCCUGGCAAUAUUAACCAGAGGCCUGAGAAAGGUGAAGGCUUUCAGAGACCAGGGCUAAGCCCUGCACUGGGUUUACAUGGCAAGGUUUUGGUAGCAUGGGGGCUGCAGGGGUGGCCUCUGCAAGGAGUCCAGGGGCUACCCCAUGAUAAGAGUUCAGGAAGGGCAGCAUCCUGUGGGAGGGACCCCACGUGGAGCAGGGGCAGAGAGUGACCGUGAAGGAGCGGUGGAGAUGAAGUGUCAGGGUCUGACAGCAGCCCCCAUUCCUCGUUCCCCUGCACUGCUU